CGUGAUCCCUCGCGUGACGGUAUCACCCGAACCUCCCCAGGGCCGGAAGGCAGCAAGGAUACGGUAGCUCUGCCGGGUACGUGAGGGAUCGGCUUU
rfam:Trueperella bernardiae strain LCDC 89-0504 AQZ59_contig000012, whole genome shotgun sequence.